AGGUUCCUUUGAAAGUGACUCUAAGCAGUGGAAAAUCUUGGGGAUGCAUGACUGAAUUACAAGGCAAGUACAGCUGUUAUUCAGUAACUCGUACUUAUCCGCCUUACACGGCUUCUGUGCUGAAUCACUAAGCAACCGCUCACUCGGAACUUUCAUCAGCACCUAAUACCUAGCAUGUAAAUUCUUUUUACAUCAUUCUAUCUGUAGCCCCAGGCAACAGCAGUGGGACAAGACUGGCUCAUACCAGUUUAUUGUACUUAUUUUAGCCACAGUGCCCAGCAGAGAGCUGCCUGCUUUAAUUCAGAAUUAUUAUGCUUACAAAUGAAAACCAAGAUUAAUGCAUGAAUGUGUAAAACACCCAUCCGGUUUCUUUUCACAUUACAAAAUCUAUUCUGCAGAUACAUUAUCAGGAUACUGGCAGGUAUUGUGCAAGAACAUGUGCCUGCUGAGAGCUGAUAAUUUCCGAUUUGCAUCCAAUAACUAUUCAUGCACAGUCUGUUAUAUUUUCUAAAUAUCUUAUCUUGUGCGAAAUGUACAGGCCAUUUAACAGUCUAUUAGCUAACUCGUAUUUUUAAGUAAUUUUGCAUAUAUUUCAGAGCUUGGAUGCAUGAUAUCAAUAGAGAAAAAGAAUAUAAUAAAAAAAAAAAAAAAAAGAAAGUUCAAAGAUGGUGUGGUGCUAGACUGUGGACACUGGCAUUUUGAAUCUGUUCAUUUAAAGGGACACCAUCUAAUUGAAGUGGUCUGGGUGCAGUGUCCCUGAUCCUCUAAAAGGACACUAUAGUCACCUGAACAACUUUAGCUUAAUGAAGCAGUUUUGGUGUAUAGAACAUGCCCCUGCAGCCUCACUGCUCAAUCCUCUGCCAUUUAGGAGUUAAAUCCCUUUGUUUAUGAACCCUAGUCACACCUCCCUGCAUGUGACUGGCACAGCCUUCCAUAAACACUUCCUGUAAAGAGAGCCCUACUUAGGCUUUCUUUAUUGCAAGUUCUGUUUAAGAUUUUCUUAUCCCCUGCUAUGUUAAUAGCUUGCUAGACCCUGCAAGAGCCUCCUGUAUGUGAUCAAAGUUCAAUUUAGAGAUUGAGAUACAAUUAUUUAAGGUAAAUUACAUCUGCUUGAAAGUGAAGCCAGUUUUUUUUUCAUGCAGGCACUGUCAAUCAUAGCCAAGGGAGCAGGGCCGGCGCUACCUGUUAGGCGGACUAGAGAGCCUCAGGCGGCUGCAGCUUUGCCCGCCCGGGUGCAGCAUGAGGAGAGGGGCUGACAGGAGGGAGCACUCAGCGCUCAGCGCUCCCUCCUGUCACUCCCUCAAUGUAGCGUGGCCGAGCCCUCUAUGGUCCGCGGGUACAGGGAGCAUGUGUCUCCUGUACCCGGCCGGACUAACAGGAAGUUAGCACUUCCUUUUAGUCCGGCCGGGUACAGGAAACAAAAGCUCCCUGUACCCGCGGACCAUAGAGAGCUCGGCCACGCUACAACAGAGGUAGGGGAAAUUGAUAGGGAGGGGAGGGAAUAAAUUGAAAGGGGGGGGAAUAAAUUGAAAUGGAGGGUAGGGAAUAAAUUGAAAGAGAGGGUGGGGAAUAAAUUGAAAGGGAGGGGGGGAAUAAAUUGAAAGGGGGAAUAAAGUGACAGGGAGGGCGGGGAAUAAAUUGAAAGGGAGGGGGGAAAAAAUUGACAGGGAGGGGAAAAAAUUGACAGGAGGGUGGGGGAAUAAAUUGAAAGGGAGGGUGGGAAUAAAUUGAAAGGGGGGGAUAAAUUGACAGGGAGGGUGGGGGGAUAAAUUGACAGGGAGGGUGGGGGGAAUAAAUUGAAAGGGGGGGAAUAAAUUGACAGGGGGGGAAUAAAUUGAAAGGGAGGGUGCGGGAAUAAAUUGAAAGGGAGGGGUGAAUAAAUUGAAAGGUGGGGAAUAAAUUAAAAGGGAGGGGAAAGACACACACACACAAGCAAUGCAACCCUUACACACAAUAACACACAAUGCAUUCCUUACACACACUCAAUGCACCCCUUACACACACUCAAUGCACCCCUUACAGACGCACACACUGCAUCCGUACAUACACAGAAACACACCUUACAGCCCUUACACAUACAAACACAGAUUCACACAAUGCAUUCCUUACACACAUAUCAGGACAUCCCCCUACUCCACCCCCUGUGAACAAACUCAUUGGUGGAACAUGAAGGUGGACCCUGGGACCCAGACCUUGAGCUGUGUAAAGGGCCUUAAAAAAAUGGAGCUGCUUCCCGUUCUCCCAGAACAUUGAUUUUUGUGACCACAGUUACAAACAGCCUCCAGAGAGCCUGUUCUACACCAGACCAGUGGAGCCAGACUGCAGCUAGAGCCCAUCAUCAUCCUCAUCUGGUUGUAAGUAGGCAAUCUAGUAUAUUAUUCGUGGCACUAAUCUCUAAUUUACCUCACAUUAAAGGGACACUAUAGUCCCCAGAACCACUGCAGCUUAAUGUAGUGGUUCUGGUGUCUAUAGCCUGUCCCUGCAGGCCUUUUAAUGUAAACACGGCAGCACUGCAGCACUGGCGUUAGUUAACAUAGCAGAUCAUAUGGGUGGGGCAUUGUGAUGUGACAUGGGGAGGAGGCCGGCAAACUUUACUUUUGCCUAGGGCGGCAAAAAUCCUUGCACCGGCCCUGCAGGGGAGGUGUGGCUAGGGCUGCAUAAACAGAAACAAAGUGAUUUAACUCCUAAAUGACAGUGAAUUGAGCAGUGUAAUUGCAGGGGAAUGAUCUAUACACUAAAACUGCUUUAUUUAGCUAAAGUAAUUUAGGUGACUAUAGUGUUCCUUUAAAGUGGUUACAAAUCUACCCCUGAUGCUGUUACCCUGUGACAGCUCUAGAACAUGGGACAAUACACAGGCUUUGCCUUUUAGAUCAUCAAUGAUAUAACAGUAUAAUGCAAAGCUGUGACAUCAGGAUUCUGUUAGAGCAUCCUAAGCAUGUCUUAGAAAAUUGAGCUUUUAAAAAAAAUGCCUCAAAAUUUUACUAUGAUAGUUUGCUCAGCCUCACGUCUUCUUCUCCAGCUAACUGUAAGGAAGUAAUAAACUGCACAACUAAUCAUGAAUGACUUAUUCUUAUAUUCAGAGGAGUCCCAAGGUUGUAUGGCACCCGAGGCAGUAAUGUAAAUUGAACACCCAUCCCAAACUGUAGAUUUGAAGAAAAAAAAAAUCAUUUUAUACAGGCUCAAAUUCAUAUAACACACACAAACAUACAUAUGCAAACAGCUCACAUUCAUAUACACGCAAAUACAUAUUCACACACACUCAUAUUUACACACAGUCACAUUCAAUGCACACAUAUUUCUACACACACACAUACUGACAUAUACACUCAUGCACAUAUCUGAUUCUUAUUUAGACAUUUAUCUCUGUUAUCUCUGGUGUCUAGUGGUUUGCCCCUGGGAUAAGUCUGUGCUCUGAUUGCACAGCCCCCUGUAGCUCUGUACUGAUGCCUUGGUGAUGUUACAUCUGGUCUCCUGGCAUUAGUACAGGGUGUCGAGUUAGCUGUGCAGUGAGAAUACAUAGUGAUCCCAGCAGCUCCCCUGCCACCUGUGAUGUCUGAAUGUGAAGUGUUAGCACUUGCUGAGCAGUUGCCAAGUGCUUGCUUUAGCAAACAGGAAGGGAGGUGGAUGCUCUGUGUCUCUAUGCUAUGUACAUUCCUGUGCCACCUGUCACGUGGGGUGGAAAUUGCCCCCAUCCCUGUAUAAGUAAGCUAGUGCUUAUCAUUAGUUGUUGUGUUGCCACAUACAUAGGUUUCACUUUUAUUUUUUGUAAUGCAUAAAGUGGGAGGGGGCACUGACCCCACUGACCUACCACCACUGGUAUUUGUCAUUUGUUAGCAAAUGUUCAUAAAAGCUCUCAUUUCAUCUUGUCACUAGAUCGAUGUGAAAUGUUGAGAAAUCCAUCAAGGCCGGCUGACUAACCUCCAAACAAAAUCAAGAAAGGAGCUAACUGAUAGACUUAUUUAUCUAUAUUUAGCACAAAGAAGCCUAAAACUGUUAUCUAGAAUAGUUCUUUUGACUUUUCUCUUUAGAGUGGGAUACCUCCAGUGUUAGCAACAUUUGCUAUAAAAAUAACACAUUUACUACAAUAUUUAAACUUACAAUGCUUUACUUAAAAUAUACUACAUUUUCUGUUUUACUGUUUCAAAAACGUGUACGUAAUGUACAACAUACUGUUGUUUGUUGGAUGUUCACCAUAUUAGAAAU